UACGGGGGGGGCAAGCGUUGUUCGGAAUUACUGGGCGUAAAGGGCUCGUAGGCGGCCAACUAAGUCAGACGUGAAAUCCCUCGGCUUAACCGGGGAACUGCGUCUGAUACUGGAUGGCUUGAGUUCGGGAGAGGGAUGCGGAAUUCCAGGUGUAGCGGUGAAAUGCGUAGAUAUCUGGAGGAACACCGGUGGCGAAGGCGGCGAUCCUGGACCGACACUGACGCUCGAGGAGCGAAAGCCAGGGG
rnacentral:rRNA from 1 species